AUUGAACGCUGGCGGCAGGCCUAACACAUGCAAGUCGAGCGAGCGGCGGACGGGUGUGUAAUGUCUGGGAAACUGCCUGAUGGAGGGGGAUAACUACUGGAAACGGUAGCUAAUACCGCAUACCAUCAGAUGUGCCCAGAUGGGAUGAGCUAGUAGGUGGGGUAAUGGCUCACCUAGGCGCCGAUCCCUCGCUUGGCUGAGAGGAUGACCAACCAACCCUGAACUGGGAAACGGCCCAGACUCCUACAGGAGGAAGCAGUGGGGAAUAUUGGACAAUGGGGGGAACCCUGAACCAGCCAUGCCGCGUAUGUGAAGAAGGCCUUAUGGUUGUAAAGCACUUUAAGGGAGGAGGCGUUACUCGCAGAAUAAGCACCGGCUAACUCUGUGCCAGCAGCCGCGGUAAUUC
rnacentral:rRNA from 1 species